rnacentral:rRNA from 1 species
GAUGCCCUUAGAUGUUCUGGGCCGCACGCGCGCUACACUGAUCAAGUCAACGAGUCUACAACCUUGGCCGGAAGGUCUGGGUAAUCUUUUGAAACUUGAUCGUGCUGGGGAUAGUCCAUUGCAAUUAUUGGACUUCAACGAGGAAUUCCUAGUAAGCGUGAGUCAUCAGCUCGCGUUGAUUACGUCCCUGCCCUUUGUACACACCGCCCGUCGCUACUACCGAUUGAAUGGCUUAGUGAGGCUUUCGGAUUGGACUUUGGCAGCUGGCAACAGCAGCCGAAGACUGAAAAGUUAUCCAAACUUGGUCAUUUAGAGGAAGUAAAAGUCGUAACAAGGUUUCCGUAGGUGAACCUGCGGAAGGAUCAUUCACAAUGAGCGUUUUAUGGCGCUUUUUAAACAAAUCCAUAUCCACCUUGUGUGCACCGUUUGAGUUCUCCGCCUCUCCUUGACUGCGAGAGGAGGGAGUUCUUAACCACAUCAAUUUUUUUUAACCAGUUUGUCUGAACAAGUGUAUCGUGAAUUAACUUAAUUCGAUAAUACAACUUUCAACAACGGAUCUCUUGGCUCUCGCAUCGAUGAAGAACGCAGCGAAAUGCGAUACGUAAUGUGAAUUGCAGAAUUCAGUGAAUCAUCGAAUCUUUGAACGCACAUUGCGCUCUCUUGGUAUUCCGGAGAGCAUGCUUGUUUGAGUAUCAGUAAAACACCCUCAACUCCCCUCUCCCUGUUGUUCUCUCUCUGAGAAACACGUGCGGGGCAGGGGGGUUGGACUUGAGCGAUUCCAACGGCGGUGGACAGGUCGAUCUUUUUUGGUCGACUCGUGAAACCGCUGGCGGGCCGCUUGAAAUGCAGGUGCGGCAGGACACAUCUUCUGAGCUAUAAGCAUUACUUAUUUAGUCCCGUUAAACGGAUUAUCUCUAUUGCUGCAGCUAAUAUAAAGGUCGAUUGUUCUUGUGCCCGACUGAUGCAGGAAAAUGAAGGGCGGGUCUUUGUUAAUUCCAAGACGCGUCCUUUGUUCAACUCGAUCUCAAAUCAAGCAAGACUACCCGCUGAACUUAAGCAUAUCAAUAAGCGGAGGAAAAGAAACUAACAAGGAUUCCCCUAGUAACGGCGAGUGAAGCGGGAUGAGCUCAAAUUUAAAAUCUGGCUGGUUUACCGGUCCGAGUUGUAGUUUAAAGAAGCGUUUUCGGUGGCAGCCUGGGUAUAAAUCCUUUGGAACAGGGUAUCGUAGAGGGUGAGAAUCCCGUCUUUGACUCAGUGCUAUGCUACUCUGUGAUACGUUUUCAAAGAGUCGAGUUGUUUGGGAAUGCAGCUCAAAAUGGGUGGUAAAUUUCAUCUAAGGCUAAAUAUUGGCGAGAGACCGAUAGCGAACAAGUACCGUGAGGGAAAGAUGAAAAGAACUUUGAAAAGAGAGUUAAACAGUGCGUGAAAUUGUUGAAAGGGAAACGUUUGACACCAGCUAUGCAGGCGGAAAAUCAGUCAACUGCAGUGAGGGGUUGUGUGGGUCUGGACCGCAAGGCCGGCCUUUACCUCACCUUUGCUGUAGGUGAUGCACUUUUUCGUCCGCAGGUCAACAUCAGUUUCGCCCGCUGGACAAAACUCCGAGAGAAGGUAGCAGCUUAGGCUGUGUUAUAGCUCUGGAGCGAUACAGUGGGUGGGACUGAGGAUUCGCAGUGUGCGCUCUCGGGCAAGGCUGACUGGGUGCUCUGGGGUUGUUUGGCGUACAAUGCAUGCAUUUUGCGCCUUGUCUUCCUCAUACUCGCUCAAUUCGGCUCUUCCACGCUUAGGAUGUUGACUUAAUGGUUUUAAACGACCCGUCUUGAAACACGGACCAAGGAGUCUAACAUGCAUGCAAGUGUUUGGGUGGCAAACCCAUGCGCGUAAUGAAAGUGAACGUAGGUGCGAUCCGCAAGGUGCAGCAUCGACCGAUCUUGAUAUUUUUGGAUAGAUUUGAGUAAGAGCAUGUAUGCUGGGACCCGAAAGAUGGUGAACUAUGCCUGAAUAGGGUGAAGCCAGAGGAAACUCUGGUGGAGGCUCGUAGCGAUUCUGACGUGCAAAUCGAUCGUCAAAUUUGGGUAUAGGGGCGAAAGACUAAUCGAACC